CUGCUGCCUCCCGUAGGAGUCUGGUCCGUGUCUCAGUACCAGUGUGGGGGACCUUCCUCUCAGAACCCCUAUCCAUCGUGGACUUGGUGAGCCGUUACCUCACCAACUAUCUAAUGGAACGCAUGCCCAUCUAUCAGCGAUAAUUCUUUAACAAAUAUUUCCAUGUGGAACCCCUGUUUUAUGCGGUAUUAGUCCGACUUUCGCCGGGUUAGUUCCCCUCUGAUAGGUAGGUUGCAUACGCGUUACUCACCCGUGCGCCGGUCG
rnacentral:rRNA from 1 species